GAAUUAUUUGGCCAAAAUGUCAAUAGUAGCAAGAAAUUUCACAAACCACUUUUGACGGUUUCAAUCAGUCACAUUAUCUUCUUCUAUACACUGCACAAGACUUUUUUUUUGGCAUUUCAGUUGCAUUUUUCCCUUUCUUGAAAAAAUAGAGCAUAAUAUGGUCAAAACAUUGUGUAUUCC